AACAGUUUUAUUGAUUAAAAAACACACUAUAUCGGAUUAAUAUCGGUAUCGGCAGAUAUCCAAAUUUAUGAUAUCGGUAUCGGUAUCGGACAUAAAAAAGUGGUAUCGUGCCAUCUCUACUACUAAUAGAUCACUCUGGAACGGUUUCGUCACCCUAAUUUGCCCACUUAGUAAAUCUCACUCAUGGCCAAGAAAUUGAAAUAAAUCUUGUUUCCCUGCUGGAUAGUGAUCCACUGUAACUCUGCUCCUCCUUCCUGUUUAGGAUUUCUGUGACUGAAGGAAAAUUCCCUCCAUCCAUCACUUAUCCCAGCUAACCCAAAGUAAAAUAAAGUUUUGCUCAUCUUAAAAAAGCAUUACAAUAAUGGGCAUUACCAAUGCAAACUGAAUAAUACAGAAGAUGAAAGAAUAGACUUUGAUCAGUUAAUAAAGCUCAUGGUCUUGAUUCAUUGUGGCUCCUACACAGAUACUUCUGGGUCACUUCUCUCAGUUAGGAACCUUCAUCACCAAAACUGACUGUUGGACCACACCCCUGGUUUCAUGAGAAAUUGUUUCAGCCAUGAUUUCUCUUCCUGUAUUUCAGAGUAAAGACUGAAGUGACAAAUGGAAACAUGGUUAAAAAAAACGUAAUGUGAGAGAGACGUUGAGGUCCUUAGAAGUUACACUGGGUUUUUCUGUCACCCUGCUAGAUGUUACACACCUUGUUAUUGGACUGAUUUCUACUGCUGGACUACUCCUGGGGAGAGUAACAAUACUCUUACUAAUGAGCUCCCUUUCACACCUUUGGGGAUAUUUAUUUUUGUGCUUUUAGCGCUGUGAGCCAGAACAGCGAGAGAAAAAUCUGCAACAGCGACGAGCCGAAUGCUUAAGUGAAUCCCAGCAGCUGCACAUGUGCUACGCUGAUUUAGAGGAUAUCUUUGCUCUGGAUUUAUAUUUAUACUUUUUCAUUUCUAUAUGUGUUGUAAGAUUUUAUGUUUUAUGUGUUUUUAUUCGUUGUUUUUCAUUAACAAGCAUAUCAUGAAGUGUUCAUAUAUUUCACAAGACUUGCUGAACUUUUCCACUGUUGUGCAAGCUGACAUUUAACUCUACAACACAAAUAAGUUAAACCGGAAACAGAUGCAGCACCCAAACCACAAGAGUUCAAAAGUGCACCACGUUUCCUAAAAAGAAGUAGCCAGACACACAUGUGACUCACACACUCCCACACACACAACCAUUGGAUUAGAGGAACUUCUAAAAGAGGAAAUGUGAUGUACUUGCAUACGCGAUGUAACCUAUAAAUAAAGAACUGUGCCUGCACUCAGGGUGUGGGUCUCGCCAGAGUCCUCACCCGUGCAUGGGGUCUCGCCAGAGUCCUCACCCGUGCACGUAUUAUAUUCUAACUGUCUGAGUGUCUUUAUUCAACCUGAAGAAUAUCUUAUUAAAAAUAAACUCUUGACAUUUAAUUGGUCCUUCGAGUCCGGAUUUUGGACAUCGAAUUAUGCUCCAACAGAGUGACCUCGUCGUUUCCUGACAUCGUGGAGAGCCCGCGCUGAAGUCUGUCGACAGCCUCUUUCCUAUGAAAGAGAAAAGACCAACUACAUGAAUUCGGGGUUGGCCAGCGUUCUUAGUAAGAGGUCCACGAUCCUGGGGAACGAGGAGGAAUCUCUGACCGGCACUUAUAUCAUCAUAACCAGUCUCUUCCAGGUUGAAACCAGGCGACUGGAUCCUGAUCAAGGUACUCCAGUGGAAAAACUGGAGCUCUCCGAGGUGGGAGGGCCCUUAUCAGGUCCUGCUCACAACACCGACAGCGUGCAAAAUCGCUGAAAGACCUUCGUGGAUCCACCAGAGCCACGCCAAAAAAGUACAAGGGGACACAAGCCCAGACGCCAGUCCACCUAUCAUCUAGUGAUCUGUGAGUGGAGGGGAGGGCAGAUUGGGUAUACCCCGCCCUCUUGCCUUCUCGCUUUCAGUCGACACACUAGGUGAUCUGGUGAACUUGGUCGACCUGAAGAAACCCCAUUGUAGCCCGAGCACCGACCUAGCCCCACCUGCCCGGUAGAGUAAAGGAAGAUCAGUCCAACCUGCAAAACCAGAAGAGCAACCCAUCACUCAAGUAACUACUCAGACACUCACAAACAAUGCCUGACAUAGACGUGCAAAAUGAACAUUCAGACAUUUCAGAUGGAGAGGACCCAGUCCCCAACAGGACUCGACGACGAUGCUGGUCAGAGGAUUGUCUACUAAUGCAUAAUUAUGUACCCCAUAACAAAACUGAAAUGGCAUUCUUUGUAAACCUACUACAAACUCUAGAAACAGUAAUAAAUACAAGUCUGCGUGCAUGUGCUCCAAAGGAACCAAUAAAGAGCUUAAUAACACUUCCGGUCACACCGCCCGAACUAGCCCAUAACAUGACCAUGGUCUGCCUAUGGAGACUUAGAGUCCCAGAAAAGCAGGGUGUAUCUUUUGUUUAUCCAAAUAAGACACUGCAACCGGAGUCUUCCUGGCACAAGCUUAUAGCCCGAUAGCAACUGAGGAAGAAGAAGACUGUGUUUAAAAAUUUCCUGUACUUCACAUGAUGUAGCAAUUGAAAAUGCGCGAGCAAGUGAUUGUCUACUGAAGUCUAUAGAGUAUGUGUGAAAUAUAUUAACAACAGGAGGGCAUGUUGUAAGAUUUUAUGUUUUAUGUGUUUUUAUUCGUUGUUUUUCAUUAACAAGCAUAUCAUGAAGUGUUCAUAUAUUUCACAAGACUUGCUGAACUUUUCCACUGUUGUGCAAGCUGACAUUUAACUCUACAACACAAAUAAGUUAAACCGGAAACAGAUGCAGCACCCAAACCACAAGAGUUCAAAAGUGCACCACGUUUCCUAAAAAGAAGUAGCCAGACACACAUGUGACUCACACACUCCCACACACACAACCAUUGGAUUAGAGGAACUUCUAAAAGAGGAAAUGUGAUGUACUUGCAUACGCGAUGUAACCUAUAAAUAAAGAACUGUGCCUGCACUCAGGGUGUGGGUCUCGCCAGAGUCCUCACCCGUGCACGUAUUAUA